UCCGGGAUGGGGUCUUUGGGGGAGACGGCUAUGUGCACCCCGAACAGGGACAGGCGCCCACAGAGUAGUUUUCUCCAUGGUCUCUGGCUCUGGGUGUACAGCCUCCCUCCCUCUUAGACAACGACCUGAGGCAGGGAUACUCAGUGGAAUGCAGACUUGAAGAUUGAAGGAAGUAGAGUCCUGAUGGCUGGCAUUUGCAGCCUGAAAAGAAACAUAUGUUCUCAAGAUUUUGGUCAAAUUACAGAUUAUCGAACCUCUUCUGAGACAUGGAUCAGCCCAUCUGAAGCUUAGAUUGACACCAUACCCAUCCCCCUGCUUGGACUGAGAGCCAGUUCUUCGCCCAUUUAUCAGCCCGAAGCAGCUAAGAUCAAGACCAUCGCCUGUAAUUUGAACUGAUAUGGGGGACUUGGGAAUGGUUGAUGAAUAACUGUUAAACCCUGACUUGGUCAUCUAUGACUGCAUGUUUAAGAUUUGAGAUGGAAAUUGUUAAAAUUGGUGUUGCUGUUAAGGAAGUUAUAAUAUGUUUAUAAUAUCUAUGUUCACUUCAGAAUAUGUAAUUGUUUGAGGGAUUUGAUUUGAUUUGAUUUUUUUUU